AUAUGAAUCACCUUAGAUCUUGUUAAAAUGCAGAUUCUGAUUCAGCAGGUGUGGGAUCAGCCUAAGAAUCUGCAUUUCUAGCAAGCUCCUGGGAUUUGCGA
rnacentral:pre_miRNA from 1 species